UCAUGAACAUUUCAGUGUGUUCCUUAGAAAAGAGCACGCAGUUUCUUUAUGGAAUCGUGCUGUCCUGGCACGGUCGCACGGAGAUUCUUGUGCCAAUGCUGACCUUUGUCCAUGACGGAAGAGGGACUUCCACCAACAUCCUUAUCUUCGCGACGCACGCUAAUCUAGCUUCACUGCUUCUAAACACAAUUUGUUGUACUUCACUGGCGACUUGGCGAGUUUCUGGACCACUUCAGUGAUCGCUUCCGUCCGCUGUUACACACCUGCAGUCACUCACCAUGGGAUUAUGCCCAGGUAAUGCACAGGAGACGUCGAGAAGAUGAAUUUUCUCAUCUAUAACAAUCGUCACCGGUCUCUGUCGGAUGUUGCUGCUCCUUGCGAGAACGAAACUCGGUGGAAUCGCGACCGACACCGAGACUCGUCAUCAACGUGGAUCAUCGUAUUGUUGGUAUUAUUGCGUUUGUGUUAGUUAACCCGUUGGUUGCCACGCCUUUGUUCUUCCCUGCACGGGCCGCGCUGUUCGGUCUCGUGGUUUUACAAGCCGCGGGGUCGGAGAGUCGCCAAGCCCAAAAUUUGCCGCAAGGCAAGCCUGUUAAAAGGCAAUGCACCUUAGUCCCCCCCUUGUCAGCACGGACUUGUCAGCAAUGGCAAGUCCCAUUUGGUCAUGGAUCCUUCAGACGUGGCGCGUAG
rnacentral:lncRNA from 1 species